rnacentral:rRNA from 1 species
AUUGAACGCUGGCGGAAUGCUUUACACAUGCAAGUCGAACGGCAGCACGGGGGCAACCCUGGUGGCGAGUGGCGAACGGGUGAGUAAUACAUCUGAACGUGCCCGGUCUUGGGGGAUAACGUAGCGAAAGUUACGCUAAUACCGCAUACGAUCUGAGCAUGAAAGCGGGGGACCGUCAGGCCUCGCGCUAGCGGAUCGACCGAUGUCAGAUUAGGUAGUUGGUGGGGUAAAGGCCUACCAAGCCGACGAUCGGUAGCUGGUCUGAGAGGACGACCGGCCACACUGGGACUGAGAGACGGCCCAGACUCCUACGGGAGGCAGAAGCGGGGACUUUUGGAAAAUGGGCGCAAGACUGAACCAGCCAUUCCGCGUGGAGGAAGAAGGGCUUCGGGUUGUAAGAUGCUUUUGUAUGGAAAGACAAGGCUCUGCAGAAAACAUGCGGCUCAUGACGGUACCGUAAGAAUAAGCACCGGCUAACUACGUG